rnacentral:rRNA from 1 species
UUGAGUACUGGAAUGAAUGAUUUAACACGUAAUUUUUUUUUUAAAAUUAAAAAUUGUAAUUUAGAGCUUAAGUAAUAAUACUUAAAUUUAUUAAAAAGACGAUAAGACCCUAAAAGCUUUAAUUUAUAAUUAUUCAUAAAUUAAAUUGGAUUUGUUUAAUUUUUUACUGGGGUAGUAUUAUUAUUUAUUUAUAAYUYAGAAAUUUAAUUUUUAAAUUCCUUAUAAUUAGGAUUUAAGUAAGUUACUUUAGGGAUAACAGCGUGAUAGAGUUGAAAAGAACAUAUUUAUAACACUGAUUACGACCUCGAUGUUGAAUUAAUAAAUCUAUUUGAAGCAGUUUUUAAAUAAGAGGGUUUGUUCAACCUUUAAU